rnacentral:lncRNA from 1 species
ACAUCAGCUGAUAAUUAUGCUAUAAUCACAUCACAUUAAAUAUGCUGAAAAAUCCACCAAAAAUAUACGCUCUGACUGAAAUAUAAAAUUCGCUUAUCGAGCUAAGAACUUUCGCCACGGGCCUUUGGCCCCCUCCGUGAGCGAAAGCCGGUCUCAAAGACCUCUCAUAAUCAAUUCUAGAACAUGGCUAAAGCCCCUCUGUGAACUAUAUGUACACGAUCAAGACCAAUGUCCAGUCAAGACCCUCCUGUAAGAUAGAACACGACCAAGGUCCCUCUGUGAACUAGAAGAAGUAUAUAAUCAUGGGUACUUUUCUGGCCGAUCUCAAUAUUGCAUGUCUCGCAUACCAAACAAAUCUCAAUAUCACAUAUCUUACAUAACAAGUCACAAAUAUACAAUAAAUAAUCUUUGAUAUUCCACAUGUAUCAUAACAAAAGAGAUUUCCAUAAUAACAUUAUAAUUCGAAUACAUAAUUGCAUAUAAUUUCACAUACUUUAACAAUAUACUUAAUUUAUAAAUACUUUAAAAAUAUUUAUAUUUUUCCACUCACAGUACUAUGUUCGCAAAAUCAACCCAGUUGGUAAGCUGUUCUGAUGUCAGUAUCGUCGCCUGAAAUACGAUAUAAUUUUUAAAUAAAGAAUUAAUUAUUUUAAAUAAUUUCAAUAAUUAAAUAGACGAUACCCAAACUUAAUCAUUUCACGUUUAAGCGAUUUUCAUAGUAUAUUUAAUCACCAAAAUUAAUUUUUCUUUCAUCUUACUCAAUUUCAUAGUUUAUUAUACUUAACCCCUUCAAUAAAAUUGAAUUUAAUCUAACAAUCUAACAACUAUAAAAUCAAACAUAACUUGACAAUAGAUAACUUUUUACUUACCUUUCAAAAUUGAGGAAUUCAAGUUCAAUAACGUAACUCACUUACUUUCUAACAAUAUAAGCGAACUUUCCUAUUUUUAUUUUUUUUUCCCUCUUCUCCUUUUUUUUUCUUCUCUCUCUUUUCUCUCCCUGCUCUCGUUUGCUUGGUGUGUGCGCUUGUGGGAGAAAUGGAUAGAUUUUGAACAUGGGUGGAUUGAUAUAAAUCAAUCCACCGCCUCUCUCUUUUUUUUUGUUUUUUAUUCUUUUUUUUUUUUUUGGGCUAAAGUUUGACUUUUAUUUUUUUGUUUUGUUUUUUACAAAAUUAAGGUAUUACAUAUCUGACCACCAGUUAUUGGAUUAAUUUUGUCAAGAUUUGUAUGUCAAGUACCUUAGCAAGGAACUCAAGGCACGAGUUGCCGAAAUCUUCCAGCUUUCCAUCAUCAAAAUUCUCCAAUAUGAUUUUUAGGUACUUGAAAUUGGUCAUUUGAGAUAUAUGGGUGCGUAAGCAUGCAUUUUUGGUAAAAAGAAAUUCAAAAUUUAUCUGCAAAAACUAGGUACAAGAACAAAGCGAAAAAGGUCGGAUCAUAAUAAUUUGUACAUGUUAAUGCAAAACACACGUAUAAGAAAGCAAAACACACAUGUAAUGUUCGGAUGGACCAAAGUAAGAAAUGUGGACAGAUGACUGUCAAAUUAAUCUGUCGAGAAGCUAUCAUAUGUCGAAAAUGACAGUUAUAUCGAUAGAUGACUCAACUCACCUGUCGAUAUUUAGUCAUCUAUCGAGGAUAAUUGAAACCAACUGUCAAAAAUGACAAAUGGGUCACAUAACUGAUCUAUCGAGAAAUAGUCAUAUAUCCAUAAUUCAUAAUUGUAAAUACUUUUAUUGUGACAAAUUAAAUAGUUCGUUUAAAAUACUUUUAACGUAGAGGACAAUACAGCAAGAUAUCUCAAAUGUACAAAAGUUGUGAAAAUCAACACUUCUACGUGCAGGGCAAGGAAAUUAACAUAAAAGAAAACAUGAAAAAUAAUAAUGAGGAGAGGGAAUAGUUGAAUCUCUAUCUAGCAUAUCAAAAUAAUCCAAUUAAGUGCACAAAGUUAUAUAAAGCAUAAAUGAAUUCAAGAAUAUAUGACAUGUAGCAGUACAGUUAUAUCAUCCUAAACACAUGAAAUUAUUAUUUUAUAUUCACCAUAAAAUGACAUGAGGUAGAAAUUUUUUAACAUUGAAUAUUGAGUCGACUAUAAAUAUGUAUGUAUGAACGGAAUGACAUUAUAUUUUCUGGCAUUAAAAUGCUGACUUAUCUCCCAAGUUUAUUUAGGGAGCUAUAGUGCCCCAAAAAGAAAAACUCAAUAUUACAACUAUAUAAACUUCUGUUACAUGACCAUGAAUCAAAGGGGAUUACAAAGUUAUAAAGUUGAUUUUUCAUAGAAGUUACUUAUCUUCUUUUUCAAUACAUGUAGGCACUGCCGUGAAACGGAAAACUAAGUUGAAAAUCGCUAAAAUGAAAAACUAACAUAUUCAUUAAAAAUAGUGUUUCAAAGAUUUGAGUUUAAAAAUGAAAAUAGUAUAUUAAAGCCAAAACACUACCUUUUAUAAUCCUUCUUGAAUACAUUUUGCCAAAUCAGCUGUAGCUUGUUGAAGAACAUCAAGAGCAGCCAGGGAAUAAAUGCUCAUUAAUGUAAAAAAAUCUUUAAAGUUUUUAAAGUCACUAAAUAACAACUGAAUAAUACCAUCAGUAAAAGGAUCCAUUUGAAUCCUACUAAACAACUACAUUGAAAUGAUAUUCAUGUCAGACUCUGAUUCAUUUAGUACAAAUCUUUUGCCAACUAUCAAUUGCACAGGCAAAAGAACUCCCGAACUGCACCAAGCGAUUUAGAGACUGUUGCAAGUCUUGAAACAUCUUUCCAACAAAUAGAUAGAUCAUAUUGUAUCUCUAGGUUUAUUCACUUAUUUGUCUGUAUAAGAAAUCACCGAGUGUGAGAGAUAGAGAAUGUGUAAGGGGAAAGAAAGAGAACCCCCUAAUACUUGUGGGCUGUGAAAUUGUAAGGAUGGUUUGUAAAAGAGAAUCAAUGGGGAUAUGUAGCUAAAAUAGAUAUACUACAUGGUUCCAUGUGUCAUUGGCACCAACAACUACUGCAAACUUGCCACUAAUGAAAAGAUAGUCAAAUAUAGAGUGCCUUAGACAAUAGCCUUGGAGUGGAAGGAUUAAAUUUUUUUUGCAGUAUUAAUAUCUUUAUCACUAACUUGAACAUUCCUUAGUAAAAAAAAGAUAGAAAAUUCACAAUAGACUAAGGGAAUAGAGCAGAUUCAAUCCCCAUGCCUAACCUAGAAAAAAUGUAAUAAACAACAUAGGUUGAAAUGACAAGGAUUCUAUGCUAUCAAAAAAUGCCUACCAACUUAAAUGGUAAGUUAUUAGACGAACUAUGCUUUACAUCAUUGUAUUACCUAUGUACAAAAAUGCCAUAGCUCUUGCAUAAAUAAGAAUGUAAAAAUGGAUGUAUGGUUAUAUUAGGAAUAUAAUCCAACUAAUGGAGGUUAAAUCAAAUUGAAGGGUGAAGAGUUAGAUGGUUAAUGUAGGGUGUAAUGAAGUGGCAAUGUAGGCAAAAAAUGAAUUUUGGUUAUCAAUACCCCCAAAUGUCUUAAUUUAAUGUCAACUAUAGUGCCAGCUGACAAAAGAGCCAAAAAUAAAAGGUAAGUAACUAUCUAAUUCUACACAAACUAAUGCAAGAAAAACUUCUCAAUUGAACAAUUUGCAUAAAUGAAAUUUAACCACGAGAAUUAAACCUCAAAAAUUUCAUAAGAGCUAUAAAUACGUCUACAAUCUUGCAGAAAAUUUAAUAAAUACUAAGUUCAAAUCCAUUUGCAUCCUUGCAAUAACAGUUUCUGUUGAACAUGAAAUUUUUCUGAAAAUCAGUGAACCCUAAACACAGAAGAGAAACAAUGAAACAUAUAAAAAUACAGGUAAAAGAAAAAAAAGAACAAACAUACAAAAGCAUAAACAAAAGAUAAAAAAAUAAAUAAAGGGAUCUCGUUGAAAGUUCAUAAACCCUAAACACAGAGAAGUAAUCGACCAAAAAGAAUAAAUGAAGGUAGAAAAAAUGAGAACAAAUACACACAACAAGAAGCAAGAGAUGAAGAUGACACAAAAUCUCACUGGAAAUUGAUAAACUCUAAACACAUAGAAGAAAUCAAAUAAAGAGAAACAGAAAUAGAACAAAUCGAAGAAACAUACAACAAAAGGCAAGAUAAAAAGAUCCUUGAAUGAGUUACAGUACACAUUCUGUGCAAAUUUUGCCCUCUUUUGUAUAAUUUGAAGAGUGAUUUCAAGGAUGUUGAAUAAUACACAAAAGAAGUUGAAGGGUCUUCUCAAGAUUCCAAUUUCCGAGUUAGAACUGGGAUUUUUUUGAAGGAUUUACAGGAGUUCUCUAGAUCUUUGAGAUCGAGAGAAGAAGGAAAUUACGAUUGAUGGAAAAUUGCUGGAAUUGAAAAAAAAAUAUCUCGUUCGUAUUAUGUAUGUGGAAAAUAUCUAAUAUAACACGGCAUAUUUUCAGCUCUUUUUAAUCAAUCGUGUUGAACCAAUUUUAAACCAACUCAAUACGAACACUUUGGUCCAAGGAU